rnacentral:rRNA from 1 species
CAGUCGAACGGUGAAGCAGAGCUUGCUCUGUGGAUCAGUGGCGAACGGGUGAGUAACACGUGAGCAACCUGCCCCUGACUCUGGGAUAAGCGCUGGAAACGGCGUCUAAUACCGGAUAUGAGCUGCGAAGGCAUCUUCAGCAGUUGGAAAGAUUUUUUGGUCUGGGAUGGGCUCACGGCCUAUCAGCUUGUUGGUGAGGUAAUGGCUCACCAAGGCGUCGACGGGUAGCCGGCCUGAGAGGGUGACCGGCCACACUGGGACUGAGACACGGCCCAGACUCCUACGGGAGGCAGCAGUGGGGAAUAUUGCACAAUGGGCGGAAGCCUGAUGCAGCAACGCCGCGUGAGGGAUGACGGCCUUCGGGUUGUAAACCUCUUUUAGCAGGGAAGAAGCGAAAGUGACGGUACCUGCAGAAAAAGCGCCGGCUAACUACGUGCCAGCAGCCGCGGUAAUACGUAGGGCGCAAGCGUUAUCCGGAAUUAUUGGGCGUAAAGAGCUCGUAGGCGGUUUGUCGCGUCUGCUGUGAAAUCCCGAGGCUCAACCUCGGGCCUGCAGUGGGUACGGGCAGACUAGAGUGCGGUAGGGGAGAUUGGAAUUCCUGGUGUAGCGGUGGAAUGCGCAGAUAUCAGGAGGAACACCGAUGGCGAAGGCAGAUCUCUGGGCCGUAACUGACGCUGAGGAGCGAAAGGGUGGGGAGCAAACAGGCUUAGAUACCCUGGUAGUCCACC